AUGAUGCCUUACCCCGCCGUCUUACAUGUAAUUAUGGAGCCAAUUGCUGAGGGAGACACUCCUUACAUUAUUCUUCAUCCUGACAUGCCAACUGAUUUCGAGGAGCUACAGAAAUCCUGGAUCCAACUCAAAGAAGAGCGGGAUACCUUUGAAACCCAAUUCUACGCUAGUGCGGCGAGCGUCAAAACUAGCAACUUCAUCAAAAGAAUGAGACAAUCAGGAAGGGGAGACGAGAGAGGAAGACCUCAUCCCAGAGGAAUCUGA